GGAGGUAUAGCUCGGUGGUAGAGCACAUGCUUAGCCCUCACUAGGUCCUGGGUUCAAUCCGCAGUACCUCCU
rnacentral:tRNA from 1 species